rnacentral:rRNA from 1 species
GACGAACGCUGGCGGCGUGCUUAACACAUGCAAGUCGAACGGAAAGGCCCUGCUUUUGUGGGGUGCUCGAGUGGCGAACGGGUGAGUAACACGUGAGUAACCUGCCCUUGACUUUGGGAUAACUUCAGGAAACUGGGGCUAAUACCGGAUAGGAGCUCCUGCUGCAUGGUGGGGGUUGGAAAGUUUCGGCGGUUGGGGAUGGACUCGCGGCUUAUCAGCUUGUUGGUGGGGUAGUGGCUUACCAAGGCUUUGACGGGUAGCCGGCCUGAGAGGGUGACCGGCCACAAUGGGGAUGGGGUACGGCCCAGACUCCUACGGGGGGGAGCAGGUGGGAAUAUUGCACAAAGGGCGGAAGCCUGAAGCAGGAACGCCGGGUGGGGGGUGACGGCCUUCGGGUUGGAAACCGCUUUCGCCUGUGACGAAGCGUGAGUGACGGUAAUGGGUAAAGAAGCACCGGCUAACUACGUG